GGACCCGCACAAGCGGUGGAGCAUGUGGUUUAAUUCGAAGCAACGCGAAGAACCUUACCAGAUCUUGAGAUCCGGAUGAAUGCCGGGCAAUGCCGACAGCCCUUCGGGGCAUCCGAGACAGGUGGUGCAUGGUUGUCGUCAGCUCGUGUCGUGAGAUGUUGGGUUAAGUCCCGCAACGAGCGCAACCCUUGUCCAUAGUAGCCAGCAGUAAGAUGGGCACUCUAUGGAGACUGCCAGGGAUAACCUGGAGGAAGGUGGGGAUGACGUCAAAUCAUCAUGCCCCUUAUGAUCUGGGCCACACACGUGCUACAAUGUCGUAAACAAAGGGAAGCAACCCCGCGAGGGUGAGCAAAUCCCAAAAAUAACGACCCAGUUCGGACUGCAGGCUGCAACCCGCCUGCACGAAGCUGGAAUCGCUAGUAAUCGCAGAUCAGAAUGCUGCGGUGAAUACGUUCCCGGGUCUU
rnacentral:rRNA from 1 species